AGCUCACUAGUCGAGUGACACUGCGCCGAAAAUGUACCGGGGCUAAACAUAUUACCGAAGCUGUGGAUUGUCCUUUGGACAAUGGUAGGAGAGCGUUCUAAGGGCGUUGAAGCAUGAUCGUAAGGACAUGUGGAGCGCUUAGAAGUGAGAAUGCCGGUGUGAGUAGCGAAAGACGGGUGAGAAUCCCGUCCACCGAUUGACUAAGGUUUCCAGAGGAAGGCUCGUCCGCUCUGGGUUAGUCGGGUCCUAAGCUGAGGCCGACAGGCGUAGGCGAUGGAUAACAGGUUGAUAUUCCUGUACCACCUAUAAUCGUUUUAAUCGAUGGGGGGACGCAGUAGGAUAGGCGAAGCGUGCGAUUGGAUUGCACGUCUAAGCAGUAAGGCUGAGUAUUAGGCAAAUCCGGUACUCAUUAAGGCUGAGCUGUGAUGGGGAGAAGACAUUGUGUCUUCGAGUCGUUGAUUUCACACUGCCGAGAAAAGCCUCUAGAUAGAAAAUAGGUGCCCGUACCGCAAACCGACACAGGUAGUCAAGAUGAGAAUUCUAAGGUGAGCGAGCGAACUCUCGUUAAGGAACUCGGCAAAAUGACCCCGUAACUUCGGGAGAAGGGGUGCUCUUUAGGGUUAACGCCCAGAAGAGCCGCAGUGAAUAGGCCCAAGCGACUGUUUAUCAAAAACACAGGUCUCUGCUAAACCGUAAGGUGAUGUAUAGGGGCUGACGCCUGCCCGGUGCUGGAAGGUUAAGAGGAGUGGUUAGCUUCUGCGAAGCUACGAAUCGAAGCCCCAGUAAACGGCGGCCGUAACUAUAACGGUCCUAAGGUAGCGAAAUUCCUUGUCGGGUAAGUUCCGACCCGCACGAAAGGCGUAACGAUUUGGGCACUGUCUCAACGAGAGACUCGGUGAAAUCAUAGUACCUGUGAAGAUGCAGGUUACCCGCGACAGGACGGAAAGACCCCGUGGAGCUUUACUGUAGCCUGAUAUUGAAAUUCGGCACAGCUUGUACAGGAUAGGUAGGAGCCUUUGAAACGUGAGCGCUAGCUUACGUGGAGGCGCUGGUGGGAUACUACCCUAGCUGUGUUGGCUUUCUAACCCGCACCACUUAUCGUGGUGGGAGACAGUGUCAGGCGGGCAGUUUGACUGGGGCGGUCGCCUCCUAAAAGGUAACGGAGGCGCUCAAAGGUUCCCUCAGAAUGGUUGGAAAUCAUUCAUAGAGUGUAAAGGCAUAAGGGAGCUUGACUGCGAGACCUACAAGUCGAGCAGGGUCGAAAGACGGACUUAGUGAUCCGGUGGUUCCGCAUGGAAGGGCCAUCGCUCAACGGAUAAAAGCUACCCCGGGGAUAACAGGCUUAUCUCCCCCAAGAGUUCACAUCGACGGGGAGGUUUGGCACCUCGAUGUCGGCUCAUCGCAUCCUGGGGCUGUAGUCGGUCCCAAGGGUUGGGCUGUUCGCCCAUUAAAGCGGUACGCGAGCUGGGUUCAGAACGUCGUGAGACAGUUCGGUCCCUAUCCGUCGUGGGCGUAGGAAAUUUGAGAGGAGCUGUCCUUAGUACGAGAGGACCGGGAUGGACAUACCUCUGGUGUACCAGUUGUCGUGCCAACGGCAUAGCUGGGUAGCUAUGUGUGGACGGGAUAAGUGCUGAAAGCAUCUAAGCAUGAAGCCCCCCUCAAGAUGAGAUUUCCCAACUUCGGUUAUAAGAUCCC
rnacentral:rRNA from 1 species